rnacentral:lncRNA from 1 species
ACGAGUGUGCAACGCGGCUGUGCUGGGACACAACAGUGGUGCGACACAACGAGUGUGCAACACAAAGAGUGUGCAACACAGCUGUGCUGGGACACAACAGUGGUGCGACACAACGAGUGUGCAACACAGGUGUGCAAUGCAGCUGUGCUGGGACACAACAGGGUGCGACACAAUGAGUGUGCAACACUAUGAGUGUGCAACAUGAGUGCAACACAGCUGUGCUGGGACACAACAGUGGUGCAACACAAUGAGUGUGCAACGCAGCUGUGCUGGGACACAACAGUGGUGCGACACAAUGAGUGUGCAACACGAGUGUGCAACGCAGCUGUUCUGGGAUGCAGCAGUGGUGCAACACGAUGAGUGUGCAACACAAUGAGUGUGCAACACGGGUGUGCAACGCAGCUGUGCUGGGACACAGUGGUGGUGCAGCGCAGCAAUGGUGCAACACGAUGAGUGUGCAACACUACAGUCGUGCAACGCAGCUGUGCUGGGACACAGCAGUGGUG